rnacentral:tRNA from 1 species
GGGCCGGUAGCUCAGCCAGGAAGAGCGUCGGGCUUUUAACCCGAAGGUCGCGGGUUCAAAUCCCGCCCGGCCCACCA